AGGGAAAAAAAAGCAGGAAUGGGGAGGGGCAGAGAGAGAGGGGGACAGAAGAUCUGAAGCGGUCUCUGCACUGACAGCAGAGAGCCUGAUAAAGGGUGUGAACUCAGGAACGGUGAAAUCAUGACCUGAGCUGAAGUUGGGUGCUUAACCGACUGAGCCACUAGGUGCCCCAAUUUAAUUCUUGUUAAGAUUUUAUUAAAAAAAAUUUUUUUUUUAACGUUUAUUUAUUUUUGAGACAGAGAGAGACAGAGCAUGAACGGGGGAGGGACAGAGAGAGAGGGAGAUACUGAUUCGGAAGCAGGCUCCAGGCUCUGAGCCAUCAGCCCAGAGCCCGACGCGGGGCUCAAACUCACAGACUGCGAGAUCAUGACCUGAGCUGAAGUCGGAUGCUUAACCGACUGAGCCACCCAGGCGCCCCAGGAUUUUAUUUUUUAAGUAAUCUCUGCAUCUGACAUGGGGCUUGAACUCAUAACCCUGAGAUCAAGAGUUGUAUGCUUUACCGACUGAGCCAGCCAGAUUUGACAACUGCUAAAUUAACAAGUUAUUUAAUUUUAAAUAGCAAAAUAUUAUUUUUUUCAUUUGUUUACAAUAUUGUGUUGGUAUGUUUAGUUUGAAUAGAUGAUAGUCAUGUGUUUCCAUUCUAGAAGGCUACCUAAUACAUUAGCCAACGUUAACUUUUAGCCAAUGUUAAGUUAAGCCCAAGCUUUGGUGAUGGCUAGUUAUAAUCUGUUUUUAAUAAGAAUCUUCAAAGGUAAAGUUUAAAACAAAGGAAGCCAUCAUUUAAAAAAAUAGUUGAUGGCAUUAUAGUACCAUUUGUAGCUUUCUUUUAUAAUUAUAGGCCUCUCUACAAAGCACUUUAAGUAAAUAUUUGUGUAGAGAAAAUUGGGCAUAUUGAUAAAUUGAUAUACUUUCAAUAAACUUGAAAUCUGUGCUAGGAAAAGCUGUGCUUAAAAAGUGAAGGUAUAAUAAUUUACAUCUGAGAAGCAAAUCUGAAAAUUUUGAUCACUUGGUCUUUCUGGAGAAUAUUUUUUUCCCUUUCUCUGUUUAAUGAGAAUAGGACCCAAUUUAAUGGAACCGUAGCUGCCUCCAGCUUGUCUAGAAUGAGGGAAGGUUCUGGUAGUUGAGUCUGUUAAAAAUGAGACUUACUUACUUUUCUCCAUUCCUAGAAGACAAGGGAGUUCUUGUCUGCUACUGGGCACAGAGCCCCUGAAGGAACACCUGGAUUUCUUGACACUUUGUUGAGCCCUCUAAACAGAAUGAAUUACUUGCAGCUGUGGGAGAUGUAAAAGUAUAAACAUGGUCCCUGUUUGAAUAUGUAAAACAAAUAAAGAUGUUUAUAAAGCAACCAGUACAGAUGAGAAUCAUACAAAUAAGAACAAAAGUGAGAGGGGGCCAAAAGUAAGAAUAAUUUGAGUUAUUAGAAUUGGAGACCUGUCCCAAUGUUUUUCAACAUGGGAUGAUUUUUCUCUCCUAGAGGACUUUUUGUAAUGUUUGGAGACAAACUGAUUGUCACAACUGCAGCUGGCAUGGGAGAAGUUGUAAUACUGGUGUCUAGUGUGUAGAAACCAAAGCUACUGCUAAACAUCCUACAAUGCACAGGACAGUCCCAUACAGCAAAGAAUUAUCCAGUCCAAAUGUCUGUAGUGCCAAGGCAGAGAAACCAUGCCCUAUCCUGGGGAAGCAGACUUUGCAGAAAACCUAUCUUGAGGACUUUAAGGGCUUUGGGCCUGGAAAUUCUCUCAAACACAUCCAAAACACUUGAAUGACACAGUGAAGGCUCUGCCUGGUAAGAUAAAAAGGUAUGAAAAAAUAUUUUCUUCUGUUUUUUGGUGCAUAACCCAUAAUAAGAGGGCUUAGUUGCUCUCUGCUUACUAUGAAUUUUCUGCAGUAAACUGGCGAAAAAUGCUUUCCCUGGUUUUAUUUUGUAUUGCAGUUUCUUAUAGCUAACAUAUUCUUGUUAUUGCAUUCUUUUUUUUUUUUUUGCCACUUUCUGCUGUAAAACAAAACAAAACAAAAAAAACCCCAAACAACAAAAAAAAAACCCAAAACCAUGUAAACUCUGAAAAAAGCAAACAGUAUUAUACGAAAGAUCCCGAAGCUUAGAGGAAGCCAGCAGAGGUGUUAGGAGAAUGUGCUUUAGAAGGCUUCCUUUCAAUCCUCUGUUCCCUGCAGAGAAGCGAGGUGUCAGUUCUGUUUUAUCACUAAGUCCAGUAAGCCAGGAGGAGAAUGAAAGUAGCAUGGGCUUUGAUAUCCUGUAGACCUAGAUUUGAAUCCAGGCCCAUUCUAUACUAGGUGUCUGACCUUGGGCAAGUAUAUAAUUUACUUGUGUACUCUGAACUCAGUACAGAGUACUUCUCUGCCAGGGGGUAAUAUCUGUUUCACUGGUGGUGAAGGGCAGUAGAGUACAGUGGGUAAGGCUGUGGACUCUCACACCUAAUUGCCUGGCUUCAGAUCUUCACUCAGCUACUUCUAGUUCUGUGCCCUUUGGUAAGUUUCUCAACCUUUUCUAGACCUCCAUUUCUUCACUUGAAAAAUGAGAAUAAUUGUAUCAGUAUUUACCUCAUAGGGCUGUUAGGACAUUAAAUGAAUUAAUAAAUGUAAAACACUUAAAAAGUGGUGCUGGACAAAUAGUAGGCACAGGAAAUGUCAGCUAUUUUGGAGAUUAAUUUGAGAUAAAGGAUGUAAAGAACCCUGUAGUGUCUAGCAAAAGAAGGUGCUUGAUAACUGGUUUUUCAAAAUUUAAACUUUAGUAGCUGACAGUUUAUUAUAAUAUAAUGCCAUUAUAAUAAAAUCAUUAGCCCCUGAAGUUAAAUUAGUGGGGAUUUGGUCUUAAGUCUUCAGGAUACAAAAAGGAAACUGCUCAUUCUUUUGCUUCUUACUUGUUCCUGGCCAAGACUCCUUUGGAUCUAUGUUCAAAAUGUGCUUAAAGAAUUGCAAGCCUAGCCAGACUUUUGUGGAAUUAUAAGAGGCAACUAGAACAGCCGCCUGAGUGCAUGGAGUGGUGAGGGAUGUUUGGGUUGGAAAUAGUUGUUUCUCUAGUCCGGCUUUCAUGAAAGCCCCCUGGGCGGAGAGGAAGUAGAGAAAUAGCAGGAAAAGUUUGCUUGUUUUUGAACUCCCUGCUUAUCCUUGGGGUGUGGGUGUGUGUCAGGUGAAGAGGUCCCAUCCUUCUUGAUGGUAUAGGGGAUUUAGACUCACUUGAAGGUAAUUUACAGUGGAAUCAAAUAUCCAGUUAUACCUGUCCCUGUUAGAUAUUGGGUUGUAGACAUAUUUAUAGCGCACACAUGGGCCAGGCUUUUCUUAGAAUAUGAGAAUAUAUUAUCUCAUGGUAAGAUAAAGUGUAUGUAAAGGGGUUAGCUUGGCAUUGUGCUUUAUUAAGAGUUAGCUGUCAUCAUCAUCAUCAUCACUGUCCUUACUCUUAAACUUUAUGUUUUAGUUAAGACACUAAUGAAGUCUUUAAUAGUUAUUCAGCAAUUCUACUUCCCCUUUUUACUUUUUUACUUCUUAGGGCAUACACACAUUCAAAGGAGCGCAUGUCAUAAUUUUACAGCUUGAUGAAUUUUCACAAACUAAACACACUCAUGCCUUCAACACUCAAGGGACAUACUCACUGGUAUCCUAGAAGCCCCACUCAUGGUCCCUUCUUGCCAUUAUCCUUCAGUUUUCAGGAAAAAAAUUGUUUUUCUCUUUAGUGACAUUCAAAGCUACUCAUGCAUGGCUUUAUGUAAACUCUUAAUAGCUAUGGCUGACAGUUAUAGCUGGCCUUAUUACACCCUUUUAUUUUCUUACGCUUUAAAAAGCACUUCUCCUGGAAAGGGUUUUAGUCCUAUAGACUGUUACCUUUGGACAUGAAUAGGCUGAGUGAUCUCGUAGAUCAUCCUCUGCAAAUAGGUGAUGUGUUUUUUGCUUUUAUUUGUCCAUAUUAUAGAAGUCCAUUAAAACCCAAAAGUUGUCCAUUGUACAAAAAGAAAAGGAAAUUGACUCAGCUGCACAGACCUCUUAGAUGUCUUCUGUAAAAGCAUUCCACAUUGAAAAGAGCUCAAGGCACAUGAAAGAAAUCCUAUGGUGGAGGAAGACUACACAAUGCUGGGUGCACUUUGGGGGCUCUCAUCUUCUGCCAUCGAACAAGGUGAUAAGGCUGAAGGACUGGCUACUUUUGGAAGUAAUGGACCUCAGUUAGUUUCCUGUGCUUUUGUCUGGGCAUAGUUAGAAAACCAUGGAGAAUUUUUCAGAAGGCAGCUUCUCAGAGGAAGAAUAAAACUGUGGGGGUUGAGUUUGAGGCUCUUCACAGUACUGAAACAUUCACUCUGGAAUCACCAGGGCAUUAGCCUUGCUUUGCAUGACUUGUUUAACUUUGUGGGCCCAGCUAAUGGCUCUGCUAAAAUAUUGUGUAUGCAUUUCAGAAUAUUAUUAGUCAUUUUGGCCAUUGCUUUAUUUCUUAAUAUUUAUUUGUUAAUUUAAAAACAUUGAGAUCUAAUUCACAUACCAUAAAAUCUACCCCUUUAAAGCAUCCAGGUCAAUGGAUUUUAGUAUGGAUAUUUAUCAUCACUAUCUCAUUCCAGAACAUUUUCUUCUCCCCUGAGAAGAAACCCCUGCCCAUUAGCAGUCACUCUCUCCAUCCUAUUUACUUAGUUUUGCCAAAUAAGUGUCAUUGCUAUCUUUAUUUCAUAGAAGUCUUUCCUCUAUAGGAUGUCAUGACAGUUGUGUGACCUUUUACAUAGGGGUGUGCCCCAUCUAACAUCCAUUGUAAAGUUGAAUUGGGGGUGCAUUUUCAGCACUACCACCAACCCCAUGUUGAUUGAAAUCGUUUUAGGACAUAAAAUGACAGUAUGUUUACUUACAGUCACUUACAAAAACACCCAAAAAAUGAAUAAUCCAAUUAAAGAAUGGGCAGAAAGCAUGUAUAGACAUUUUUCUAAAGAAGACCUACAGAUGGCCAACAGACACAUGAAAAUAUACUCAACAUCACUGUUCAUUAGGGAAAUGCAAAUCAAAACUACAAUAAGGUAUCACCUCAUACUUGUCAGAAUGGCUAAAAUCAACAACACAAACACCAGGUGUUGGCAAGGAUGUGGGGAAAGGGGAACCCUCUUGUACUGUUGGAGGGAAUGCAAGCUGGUGCAGCCACUCCGGAAAAUAGUAUGGAGGUUCCUCAAAAAGUUAAAAAUAGAACUACUGUAUGAUCCAACAAUUGCACUACUAAGUAUUUACCCAAAGGAUACAAUUCAAAGGGAUAUAUACACCCUGAUGUUUAUAGCAGCGUUGUCUAUAAUAGCCGAAUCAUGGGAAGAGUCCACGUGUCCAUUGAUGAAUGGAUAAAGAAGAUGUGGUAUUAUAUAUACAAAGGAAUAUUAGUCAUAAAAAGAAUGAAAUCUUUUCAUUUGCAAUGACAUGGAUGGAGCUAGAGAGUAUCAUGUGAAGCAAAUAAGUCAGAGAAAGACAAAGACAAAUACCGUAUGAAUUUACUCGUUUGUGGAAUUUAAGAACAAACCUAAUUCUAUUAGGGUACUUAUAGCAAAGGGGAAAAAAAAGAGAGAAAGACAAACCAAGAAACAGAUUCCUAAUUAUAGAGAACAAUCUGAUGGUUACCAGAGGGGAGGGGCAUGGGGAGGACGGGUGAAAUAGGUGAUGUGGAUUAAGGAGGGCACUUGUGAUGAGAAUUGGGUGGUGUUUGGAAUUGUUGAAUCACUAUAUUGUACACCUGAAAUUAAUAUAACAUUGUAUGUUAACUAUACUGGAAUUAAAAAAAAAAUGAUGAUGAUGAUGAUGAUGAAGAAAAGGCAUAAAAAAAUUACUGUUGUCUUUUCCUGGUUUAGUGGAGCUUCUGAGCAACUGUGGAAAUGUACAUGCUUACAAAGCUGGGUCUGUUUGUCAUCAAAGAAGGCCGUGAGUCCAAAACUCUUAAAAAGGCCUCCUCCCUCAGAGCAGCUUUUAUCCAAAGACUUUUGGACCAAAUGACUUCUAUCUCAUGUGAAUAUUUCCAGGCACAAAUAUUUCAUCAUGGUGAUACAGUUGAACAUGUGUACUUUUCAGUUAUUCUCAGGAAUAGAAUGGCAUUUAUCAUGUGCUAUGUAUAGACAUUAAAUAGGAGGCAUCAAAAGUCUGUGGUUAACUGGAUUCACCAA